rnacentral:ncRNA from 1 species
UGGUAUCAGGCACAACAUAAGCCCAAGACACCUUGCUACGCCACACCCCUAAGGGAACUCAGCAGUGAUAAACAUUGAUUAUAAGCGUCAAGCUUGAAUCAGUUACAGUUAUUAGAGCCGGUAAAUCUCGUGCCAGCCACCGCGGUUAUACGAGAGACUCAAGUUGAUAACUAACGGCGUAAAGCGUGAUUAAAGGCCUUAAACAAUAGAGUUAAAUUUCAACUCAGCUGUCGCACGCUUUCGCUGCUUAGAAAAACAAUUACGAAAGUAACUCUACUUUCAACAACUUGAACUCACGACUGCUGGGAUACAAACUGGGAUUAGAUACCCCACUAUGCCCAGCCUUAAACUUUGACCACUUACACUAAAAUCCGCCAGGGGACUACGAGCAUUAGCUUAAAACCCAAAGGACUUGGCGGUGCCCCACACCCACCUAGAGGAGCCUGUUCUAUAAUCGAUAACCCCCGCUUAACCUCACCACUUCUAGCAAACUCAGCCUAUAUACCACCGUCGCCAGCCCACCCUGUGAAGGUACCCGAGUAGGCAUAAAUAUCUGUAAUAAAAACGUCAGGUCAAGGUGUAGCUUAUGAAGUGGGAAGAAAUGGGCUACAUUUUCUAUUAAUCUAGAAUAAACGAAAAACCAUUAUGAAAUCUGGUUAGAAGGUGGAUUUAGCAGUAAAAAGAAACAAUAGUGUUCUUUUUAAAAUGGCCCUGGGGCGCGCACACACCGCCCGUCACCCUCUUUAAAACCCCACAAAUAUACAUAAAAUUUUAACUAAUAUAAAGAAGAGGCAAGUCGUAACAUGGUAAGUACACCGGAAGGUGUGCUUGGAA